GCCGCCAUUAGAAGAUGGCGCCGGUCUCCGUUGUGGAUCUUGGUAAACAACUCCUUAUUAGGGACGCUGUCCCUCAACACCCUAUGAGAAAACCCCGCCUGGAAGCUUUGGAUUGGACUUGAGUAAGCUUUAUUAGGCUAUGCUUGGACGCUCGGCGGGGGGUCACUAGAAGAUGAUACAUGAAACAAGGCCUGAAUAAACUGCUGAAAGAAGAAUCCUGUGUCGUGUUUUCCCUUGCCGGCGAGGGGUCGCGACAAUUGGUGGCCCGGACGGGGAAUUAUAUUCCUCGAACCCAGGAUCCAGAACUUUCAGCAGUCAGGGUGGUGCACCGGUAAGUUCCCAGGUAAAGUGGGAAUCUGCAAGCAAAUAGCGGGGCACUCUCUCUGUAAAUAGAGAGCGGGAAAAAGGACGCUCCCCUGUAAAAGGAAGAGAGCGGGAAAUUCAUAGAACAGAACGCUCCCCUGUAAAAGGAAGAGAGCGGGGAUUUUUGUACUUUCACUUUCUUUAUAGUUCUAAAAACAUUAUGGGCGUUGCCUCUUCAAGCCCAAUUUUGUUGGCCCUAGAUGGGUUGCUACGUUCAAAAGGACUUAAGGUAAAGCAGAGCACUUUGCAGAUGUUUUUGAGAGAAGCUGCCGGGGCCACAGCCGCGGUCUGGGCAUGAGGAUGGCGGUGGGCUCAGUCAAGAUGCAGCCGCCAUGCGAGAACCCUGCCCUAACAGCGGCGGUGGCGGCGGCGGACAGCGCUCUGCGCCGCAGUCCCAGCGCCCGCGAGCCGGAGCGCGAGCAGCCGCCGGCGUCGCUGCAGCCGCGGCUGAAGGACCUGCCUGCACUGCUGCGGAGCGGGCUCACGCUGCGGAGAAAGCGGAGCGCCGCCGGGGGCCGUGACCGGACGGAGCCGGUGUGGGUUCCAGAACGCCUGACAAGAAGAGUCCCGACAAAUACAUCUGAGUUUAAUAUAACCACUUUGGCCAUUACUUCCCAGGUGUUAAUUCCGUUGUCUCCUUCUAAUGAGACCUCUAAUGCCACUCAUUUUAAGGCUUCUCCUUAUUGCACCCCUGAGUAUGGCUUCCCUCCUAUAUUUACACCUUGUCAAGAUCACUCUUGGGAGAAACAUCAGGUCGCUAAAGGUUUCUCCCUUUCCCCCUCUCUUAAAAGAUAUUUGUAUAAUGUUUCCAAUAAUAAUUCCUCCAUAGGAGCAGGUUGGUCUUGGUUUCAAUGGUUGAUUUCCAAUGAAAAGGGAGCCACAGCUGAUAUUUCCACUUUGGCUCAAUUACGAGGAGUCCAAAGUUGGCUGUUUAAUGUUUCUGGUAGUACCCAAGACUCGGAGCGAGGUAGGAGGCUUAAAAUUACUGCAAAUAAUUCACAAUUAUCUAAUGCUACAUUACCCUCCACAGCAGUCUGUCUCCAAUCUCCGUUCCUGUUUCUUUUGGCUAAUGUUACAUCACAGGGGAUGCUUAAUUGUUCUAAUAUUACCUGUUAUUUGAGUGUUGGAAUGGCUCCUGGACUAUGGCAGUGAUUAUGAAAAUUCCAACCUUUGUCCCGAUCCCGGUUACUGCAGAUCCAGAGUCUUUUCCUAUUGUUGAACUGAUUAGAGCCCGUAGAGAUUUUGGAAUUACGGCAGCUAUAGUGACAGCUGUGGCGGUAUCUGCUGCUGCAGCAGUUACAGCUGGAGUAGCCAUGGCCAGCCAGGUACAAACUGCUGCCACUAUUAAUCAGGUUAUUCAACAAACAUCCACCAUACUUGAAUCUCAAAGUAGAAUUAAUCAACACAUUUUAUCUGGGAUUCUGGCUGCUAAUCAAAGGAUAGAUCUGCUUCAAGCUCAAGUUGAGGAAUUGUCUGACCUAGUACAUUUGGGUUGUGUUGAUCAACGUGCACAUUUAUGUAUAACCUCUGUCAGAUUUUAUGAUUCCAGAAAUGCCUCCCGCAUCAUCGGAGAGUAUCUAUCCGGAACCUGGUCCAUGGAAGCAGAAAACUUGAUCCAGUCUCAACUAACUCAGAUUGCUGUUUUGAAUAGUACCCGUGUCGAACCAGUGACUUUGGGUCAAUUCACCAGUUGGCUAUCCUCNCUCAGCUAUCCCCCUUCGUCCACCAUCGUCACGAUACAGGAUGCGAGGCAAGGCACUGCACUUGAGUGAUCCGAUCUCCGGACCUCAAGGGAAGCAUGUCCUAUUGCUUACGGGUUUGGCGUCCACGCCCCGUCCCACGAAAAAAGGCGUCGGCUGAUAUGGUGUCAGAUCUAGGGAAGGCGCCUCCUUGGGACUGAGCCAUACAUUGCAGCCAUGUUUGCACAGUGGGAUAGGACCUCUACUUUCGCCUGCAUUGUUUUUUAAGAGAUAAGGGGGAACUGUGGUGAGCCGUGUUUGUAGACGGUUGCCGCCAUUAGAAGAUGGCGUCGGUCUCCGUUGUGGAUCUUGGUAAACAACUCCUUAUUAGGGAAAGUUGGCACGCUGUCCCUCAACACCCUAUGAGAAAACCCCGCGUGGCAGCUUUGGAUUGGACUUGAGUAAGCUUUAUUAGGCUAUGCUUGGGCGCUCGGCGGGGGGUCACUAGAAGAUGAUACAUGAAACAAGGCCUGAAUAAACUGCUGAAAGAAGAAUCCUGUGUCGUGUUUUCCCUUGCCGGCG
rnacentral:lncRNA from 1 species